GCGCUCGUAGCUCAAUCGGACAGAGCAUCUGACUUCGGAUCAGAGGGUUGGGGGUUCGAGUCCCUCCGAGCGCG
rnacentral:tRNA from 1 species